AACCUCAUCCUAACCCUCUCAAACCAUCCGAUACCGCACUUUAUCAUCCUUAAUCCAUCCAAUUCCGAAUCUUCCACCAAUCAUAACCCUAGGUUAAGUUUGCCUAAAACCUUCUCUGCUCAUUCAUCACCAUUUCGGGUUCAACACAUACAAUGGAGCAAGGUCGUCCAAAACGGGUCAAGACUACAGCUACUCGUGUACGAAGAAGGGAAACCGGUUCACCUUCCACUCGGGACCGCG
rnacentral:lncRNA from 1 species